UGAAUGUGAAGCCUGUCAGCUCCACCGAAGAAUGCUUGGAACUGGGAGAUCGAGUGAGAAAGGAAGUGGAAUUCCUCGGUAGCGGUGGAGCGUAAAAUUUUGGAAAGCACAGUGGCGAAGCGGCUUUAUGGUCUGUAACUGACGCUGAGGCUCGAAAGCACGGGUAGCGAACAGGAUUAUUACCCCGGUAGUCCAUGCCGUAAACGAUGAUUGCUAAGUGUUGGAAGGUUUCCGCCCUUCAGUGCUGCAGCUAACGCAUUAAGUAUUCCGCCUGGGGAGUACGACCGCAAGGUUGAAACUCAAAGGAAUUGACGGGGACCCGCACAAGCGGUGGAGCAUGG
rnacentral:rRNA from 1 species